rnacentral:rRNA from 1 species
GGUUAAGCGACUAAGCGUACACGGUGGAUGCCCUGGCAGUCAGAGGCGAUGAAGGACGUGCUAAUCUGCGAUAAGCGUCGGUGAGGUGAUAUGAACCGUUAUAACCGGCGAUUUCCGAAUGGGGAAACCCAGUGUGUUUCGACACACUAUCAUUAACUGAAUCCAUAGGUUAAUGAGGCGAACCGGGGGAACUGAAACAUCUAAGUACCCCGAGGAAAAGAAAUCAACCGAGAUUCCCCCAGUAGCGGCGAGCGAACGGGGAGGAGCCCAGAGCCUGAAUCAGUGUGUGUGUUAGUGGAAGCGUCUGGAAAGGCGCGCGAUACAGGGUGACAGCCCCGUACACAAAAAUGCACAUAUUGUGAGCUCGAUGAGUAGGGCGGGACACGUGGUAUCCUGUCUGAAUAUGGGGGGACCAUCCUCCAAGGCUAAAUACUCCUGACUGACCGAUAGUGAACCAGUACCGUGAGGGAAAGGCGAAAAGAACCCCGGCGAGGGGAGUGAAAAAGAACCUGAAACCGUGUACGUACAAGCAGUGGGAGCCUCUUAAUGGGGUGACUGCGUACCUUUUGUAUAAUGGGUCAGCGACUUAUAUUCUGUAGCAAGGUUAACCGAAUAGGGGAGCCGAAGGGAAACCGAGUCUUAACUGGGCGUUAAGUUGCAGGGUAUAGACCCGAAACCCGGUGAUCUAGCCAUGGGCAGGUUGAAGGUUGGGUAACACUAACUGGAGGACCGAACCGACUAAUGUUGAAAAAUUAGCGGAUGACUUGUGGCUGGGGGUGAAAGGCCAAUCAAACCGGGAGAUAGCUGGUUCUCCCCGAAAGCUAUUUAGGUAGCGCCUCGUGAAUUCAUCUCCGGGGGUAGAGCACUGUUUCGGCAAGGGGGUCAUCCCGACUUACCAACCCGAUGCAAACUGCGAAUACCGGAGAAUGUUAUCACGGGAGACACACGGCGGGUGCUAACGUCCGUCGUGAAGAGGGAAACAACCCAGACCGCCAGCUAAGGUCCCAAAGUCAUGGUUAAGUGGGAAACGAUGUGGGAAGGCCCAGACAGCCAGGAUGUUGGCUUAGAAGCAGCCAUCAUUUAAAGAAAGCGUAAUAGCUCACUGGUCGAGUCGGCCUGCGCGGAAGAUGUAACGGGGCUAAACCAUGCACCGAAGCUGCGGCAGCGACACUAUGUGUUGUUGGGUAGGGGAGCGUUCUGUAAGCCUGUGAAGGUG